rnacentral:rRNA from 1 species
AGGACUAACGCUGGCGGCGUGCCUAACACAUGCAAGUCGAACGAGGUAGCAAUACCUAGUGGCAGACGGGUGAGUAACGCGUGGUCAACCUACCUCUUAGUGGGGGAUAACUAGCCGAAAGGUUAGCUAAUACCGCAUACGAUCGUCGCGAGGCAUCUCGUGACGAUGAAAGGAGCAAUUCGCUAAGAGAGGGGACUGCGUCCCAUUAGUUAGUUGGUGGGGUAAUGGCCCACCAAGACUCCGAUGGGUAGCUGGCUUGAGAGAGCGACCAGCCACACUGGAACUGAGACACGGUCCAGACUCCUACGGAGGCAGCAGUGAGGAAUUUUCCGCAAUGGGCGCAAGCCUGACGGAGCGACGCCGCGUGUGGGAAGAAGGCCUUCGGGUCGUAACCACUGUCGAAGGGGACGAUAUUGACGGUACCCUUGGAGGAAGCCCCGGCUAACUACGUGCCAGCAGCCGC